rnacentral:rRNA from 1 species
ACGACCGUACCGCAAACCGACACUGGUGCGCGAGAUGAGUAUUCUAAGGCGCUUGAGAGAACUCAGGAGAAGGAACUCGGCAAAUUGACACCGUAACUUCGGAAGAAGGUGUGCCUUUAGUAGGUGAAGUCCCUCGCGGAUGGAGCCCAAUGAGGUUGCAAAAAAUCGGUGGCUGCGACUGUUUAUUAAAAACACAGCACUCUGCAAACACGAAAGUGGACGUAUAGGGUGUGACGCCUGCCCGGUGCUGGAAGAUUAAAUGAUGGGGUGCAAGCUCUUGAUUGAAGUCCCAGUAAACGGCGGCCGUAACAAUAACGGUCCUAAGGUAGCGAAAUUCCUUGUCGGGUAAGUUCCGACCUGCACGAAUGGCGUAACGAUGGCCACACUGUCUCCUCCUGAGACUCAGCGAAGUUGAAAUGUUUGUGAUGAUGCAAUCUCCCCGCGGAAAGACGGAAAGACCCCAUGAACCUUUACUGUAGCUUUGUAUUGGACUUUGAACAGAUCUGUGUAGGAUAGGUGGGAGGCUUUGAAGCAGGGUCGCUAGAUCUUGUGGAGCCAACGUUGAAAUACCACCCUGGUGUGUUUGAGGUUCUAACCUAGGCCCGUAAUCCGGGUUGGGGACAGUGCAUGGUAGGCAGUUUGACUGGCGGUCUCCUCCCAAAGUGUAACGGAGGAGUUCGAAGGUACGCUAGUUACGGUCGGACAUCGUGACGAUAGUGCAAUGGCAUAAGCGUGCUUAACUGCGAGACUGACAAGUCGAGCAGAUGCGAAAGCAGGACAUAGUGAUCCGGUGGUUCUGUAUGGAAGGGCCAUCGCUCAACGGAUAAAAGGUACUCUGGGGAUAACAGGCUGAUACCGCCCAAGAGUUCAUAUCGACGGCGGUGUUUGGCACCUCGAUGUCGGCUCAUCUCAUCCUGGGGCUGUAGCCGGUCCCAAGGGUAUGGCUGUUCGCCAUUUAAAGAGGUACGUGAGCUGGGUUUAAAACGUCGUGAGACAGUUUGGUCCCUAUCUUCCGUGGGCGCUGCAGAUUUGAGGAAGCCUGCUCCUAGUACGAGAGGACCGGAGUGGACGCACCUCUGGUGUAUCGGUUGUCACGCCAGUGGCAUUGCCGAGUAGCUAUGUGCGGAAGAGAUAACCGCUGAAAGCAUCUAAGCGGGAAACUCGUUUCAAGAUGAGAUCUGCCGGGGCCUUGAGCCCCCUGAAGAGUCGUUCAAGACCAGGACGUUGAUAGGUCGGGUGUGGAAGCGCAGUAAUGCGUUAAGCUAACCGAUACUAAUUGCUCGUGCGGCUUGACCCG